AUGACACUUAAGUUGGCAGGCUUCUCAAAGCAACCAUGCUGCAGCCGCCUUCAAAACCUUUCAACACUCCUUGAAUUGCACGUCUCUCCCUCUCUCUCCCUUUCUCUACGUACAAAUACACACACGCAUACAAUCCCUAUAAAUACUACUAAGAAACCACGUGAAGCAAGCACCCGUGCUCUCAUCUUCCUUCCUCACAGCCUUCCAUCUUCCUCUACUCUAUCUACUCCAGCAUAUAUGGGUGGAUCUACUAACCUUCCUCCUGGUUUCCACUUCUUCCCCUCCGACGAAGAACUCGUCAUCCAUUUCCUCCGCCGCAAGGCGGCUCUCCUCCCAUGCCGACCUGACAUCGUCCCUACGCUGCCUCAGAAUCGCUACGAUCCAUGGGAGCUGAAUGCACUUCAAGCAGGGAACCAGUGGUACUUCUUUAGCCAAGCAACACAGAGUAGGACCUCACGAAAUGGGUGCUGGAAUCCCAUCGGUGCCGAUGAGGCAGUAAGUAGUGGCGGUUCUCAUGUCGGCCUGAAGAAGACACUCGUCUUCUCCAUUGGGGAGCCCUUUCAGGCGACCAAAACCAACUGGGUUAUGCAUGAGUACCACUUACUUGACGGGAAUGGGGGUACCAGCAGUUCAGGUAGUUCACGCAAGCGGUCUCACAAGAAGAAAGACCACCCAGACAAAGAAUGCAGCAAUUGGGUGGUGUGUCGGGUGUUCGAGUCGAGCUACGAUUCGCAAGUGAGCUUCCACGAGGAGGACAUGGAGCUUUCAUGCUUAGACGAGGUGUUCCUAUCCCUAGAUGACUAUGAUGAAGUCAGUUUGCCGAAGAAUUAG
rnacentral:rRNA from 1 species